rnacentral:lncRNA from 1 species
GGAAAAAAUAAAGAAGAUUGGCAACAGAUGUUAGCUCAGGUGCCAAUCUUUAAAAAAAAAAUACAAAAACAAAACGAAAAAUUACCAAAGACUAUGUAAAAGGUAGGGGGAAAAUACAGUCACCUGUCCAGAUGCUGUCACUAGGGGAUGCCUAAUGCCCUGUGUAUCAGCAUUGUUUCUAUUAUAAAGCUAAAACAUUUUAAAAACCUUCUUAAUUUUCUCUUUUCACACUCAAUCUUUUCACCCCUUUUAGCUACCUCAUAGCUGUUUUAUUCUGUCAGCCACAGAUUUUCUGCAUCACUUCAUUGAGGAGGGCUCUGAGGCUAUGUCUCAACUGCAUGUGAAAGUGCCACGAUGACUCAGCAACGUCUGUCCUGGGCGUGACAUACGUGUAGUAGUAUAUACUUCCAGACUUCCUCCCGAAGACAAUGACAAUUACUGGUUCCUUGC